rnacentral:tRNA from 1 species
GGUGCGGUAGUGUAAUGGUAACAUUCUUAAACCGUAUACAUUUAGUAAUGUUACUUAGAGAUUUAAGAGACCUGGGUUCGAUUCCUAGUCGUGCUC